rnacentral:rRNA from 1 species
UGGGAUAACCCCGGGAAACCGGGGCUAAUACCGAAUAUGACCUCUGACCGCAUGGUUGGUGGUGGAAAGUUUUUCGGCUUGGGAUGGGCUCGCGGCCUAUCAGCUUGUUGGUGGGGUGAUGGCCUACCAAGGCGACGACGGGUAGCCGGCCUGAGAGGGCGACCGGCCACACUGGGACUGAGACACGGCCCAGACUCCUACGGGAGGCAGCAGUGGGGAAUAUUGCACAAUGGGCGGAAGCCUGAUGCAGCGACGCCGCGUGAGGGAUGACGGCCUUCGGGUUGUAAACCUCUUUCAGCAGGGACGAAGCGUAAGUGACGGUACCUGCAGAAGAAGCGCCGGCCAACUACGUGCCAGCAGCCGCGGUAAGACGUAGGGCGCGAGCGUUGUCCGGAUUUAUUGGGCGUAAAGAGCUCGUAGGCGGCUUGUCGCGUCGACCGUGAAAACUUGGGGCUCAACCCCAAGCCUGCGGUCGAUACGGGCAGGCUAGAGUUCGGUAGGGGAGACUGGAAUUCCUGGUGUAGCGGUGAAAUGCGCAGAUAUCAGGAGGAACACCGGUGGCGAAGGCGGGUCUCUGGGCCGAUACUGACGCUGAGGAGCGAAAGCGUGGGGAGCGAACAGGAUUAGAUACCCUGGUAGUCCACGCUGUAAACGUUGGGCGCUAGGUGUGGGGGGCCUCUCCGGUUCCCUGUGCCGCAGCUAACGCAUUAAGCGCCCCGCCUGGGGAGUACGGCCGCAAGGCUAAUACUCA